rnacentral:rRNA from 1 species
AGUUGAUCCUGGCUAGAACGAACGCUGGCGGCGUGCUUCAUACAUGCAAGUCGAACGAGAAAUCCCGGGCUUGCUCGGGAUAGUAAAGUGGCAAACGGGUGAGUAACACGUGGGCAACCUGCUCUCAAAUUGGGGGAUAACUCUGCCAACGCGGGGCUAAUACCGAAUAUGAUCCUGAUGUCGCAUGUUGUCGGGAUAAAAGCUAUUUCAAUAGGAAUGGCGUUUGAGAUGGGGCCCGCGGCCUAUUAGCUUGUUGGUGAGGUAACGGCCCACCAAGGCAACGAUAGGUAGCCGGCCUGAGAGGGUGUACGGCCACACUGGGACUGAGAUACGGCCCAGACUCCUACGGGAGGCAGCAGUAGGGAAUAUUGCGCAAUGCCCGCAAGGGUGACGCAGCAACGCCGCGUGAGUGAUGAAGUUCUUCGGAACGUAAAACUCUGUCAGGGGGAAAGAGACCCUCGAUUUCGAUCGAGAUUGACGGUACCUCCAGAGGAAGCUCCGGCCAACUCCGUGCCAGCCGCCGC